rnacentral:rRNA from 1 species
GACGAACGCUGGCGGCGUGCCUAAUACAUGCAAGUAGAACGCUGAAGAGAGGAGCUUGCUCUUCUUGGAUGAGUUGCGAACGGGUGAGUAACGCGUAGGUAACCUGCCUUGUAGCGGGGGAUAACUAUUGGAAACGAUAGCUAAUACCGCAUAACAAUGGAUGACCCAUGUCAUUUAUUUGAAAGGGGCAAAUGCUCCACUACAAGAUGGACCUGCGUUGUAUUAGCUAGUAGGUGAGGUAACGGCUCACCUAGGCGACGAUACAUAGCCGACCUGAGAGGGUGAUCGGCCACACUGGGACUGGGACACGGCCCAGACGCCUACGGGAGGCAGCAGUAGGGAAUCUUCGGCAAUGGGGGCAACCCUGACCGAGCAACGCCGCGUGAGUGAAGAAGGUUUUCGGAUCGGAAAGCUCUGUUGUAAGUCAAGAACGAGUGUGAGAGUGGAAAGUUCACACUGUGACGGUAGCUUACCAGAAAGGGACGGCUAACUACGUG